CCCUACGGGGCGCAGCAGUCGCGAAAACUUCGCAAUAAGCGAAAGCUUGACGGGGCCAUCCCGAGUGCCAUCUGCUGAGGAUGGCUUUUACCCAGUAUAGAUAGCUGGGGGAAUAAGGAGAGGGCAAGUCUGGUGUUAGCCGCCGCGGUAAUACCAGCUCUCCGAGUUGUGGGGACGUUUAUUGAGCCUGAAGCAUCCGUAGCCGGCUGGGCUAGUCCUNUGUUAAAUCCAGCGAUAAAUCGUUGGCCUGCGGGGGAUACUGCUCGGCUAGGGGGCGGGAGAGGUCGUCGGUAUUCUUGGGGUAGGGGUGAAAUCCUGUAAUCC
rnacentral:rRNA from 1 species